rnacentral:sRNA from 1 species
GAAAAAUCUUCCAAAGAAGAAGUCAUACAACAGCUUAGUAACUUGGAAUGUUUGCUGGCUUUGAAGGAAGUAUUUAAAAAUCUGUUUAUGAGAGGUUUCAGUCAUUAUGACCGUCAGCUUAGAAAUGACAUAUUAGUGAUCACUACAAUUAUAGCUCAAAAUCCUGAAGCACCAAUGAUUGAAUGUGGCUUUACCAAGGAUUUGAUACUGUUUGCCACCUUUAAUGAAGUUAAAAGUCAAAAUCUUUUGGUAAAAGGACUUAAGCUUUCUAAUUCCUAUGAAGAUUUUGAGUUGAAGAAAUUACUAUUCAAUGUAAUUGUGAUCUUAUGUAAAGAUUUACCUACUGUACAGCUAUUAAUUGAUGGCAAAGUUAUUUUGGCUUUGUUUACCUAUGUUAAGAAGCCAGAGAAACAAAAAAUAAUUGACUGGUCUGCAGCACAGUAUGAAGAAUUACAACUGCAUGCAAUUGCCACUUUGUCAUCAGUGGCUCCUUUAUUAAUAGAAGAAUACAUGUCAUGCCAGGGAAAUGCUCGAGUCCUUGCAUUUCUAGAAUGGUGUGAGAGUGAAGAUCCGUUUUUCAGUCAUGGUAACAGUUUUCAUGGUACAGGUGGCCGAGGCAACAAGUUUGCCCAGAUGCGUUACAGUUUAAGACUCCUGAGAGCCAUGGUCUACCUUGAAGAUGAGACUGUAAACAAAGAUCUUUGUGAAAAGGGAACAAUUCAGCAAAUGAUAGGAAUCUUUAAAAAUAUAAUAAGCAAGCCUAAUGAAAAGGAAGAAGCCAUUGUUUUGGAAAUCCAGUCUGAUAUAUUACUUAUCCUAUCUGGUCUUUGUGAGAAUCACAUUCAAAGGAAGCUCCAUAGUGAACUCUGAGUCUCAGAGAUUGAUAAUUUAAAUGUUAAAUAGCAAGGGAUGGAAUUGGAAAGAUAAAAACAAAAAAAUGAUGGUUUCAAUAGAUAGAUUUUAAGUGAAUGCCUGUUUAGCUCCAAGCUUUGAUUCAACUUCUCAUCGUAUUCUACCACCCGGUGCCUGGGCUCCUCUGGAAAAAUAAUCAUAAUCUUGCUUACUGGGAACCAGAACUGAACAGCAAGGCAAUGAGAAAGGAAAUUUUCGGAACUGAAGGAGUAGAUAUAGUUCUUCAUGUGAUGAAAACAGACCCCAGGAAGUUACAGAGUGGCUUAGGCUAUAAUGUACUUCUUUUUAGUACAUUGGACAGCAUUUGGUGCUGUAUUUUGGGAUGUUAUCCUUCAGAGGAUUAUUUUCUUGAAAAGGAAGGCAUUUUUCUCCUUUUGGAUUUGUUGGCAUUGAACCAAAAAAAAUUCUGUAAUCUAAUACUUGGAAUAAUGGUUGAAUUUUGUGAUAAUCCCAAAACUGCAGCUCAUGUCAAUGCUUGGCAAGGGAAGAAGGAUCAGACAGCUGCUAGUCUUUUAAUUAAAUUGUGGAGAAAGGAGGAAAAAGAACUAGGAGUAAAACGUGAUAAAAAUAGGAAGAUCAUUGGUGAGUAUAUUUAUAAUUGUUAGUAGAAGCAAUUAAUGUAUAUUUUUUAAAAGAUCUUUAAAUGGUAUUAGGAAAGCAUCAGGCCUUUCACCCCUUUGUCUAAAGUUUUUUUUUUUUUUUUUUUUUUACAAGGGUUUGAAAAAUUUGCUAUCCUAAGUGACUGGGAGAAAACUAAGCAAAUUAGUAGUAGGUUCAUAUUUUUAGAGAAUAUUUUUAAGAAAUUGUAUUUAAUUGUAUUCUUCAACUAAAAAAAAUUAAAGUAGUUCCUAAAGAUGCUUCUUUGGGUUUUCUGCUUUUACAGAUAGAUUCGAUAAUAUUUCAUUGAGAUGUAAAUAGAUUGCUUCAAAAUAAUAUUUUGGCAUUUUAUACAUUUCUGUUCAUUUUUCCUUUUUUUAAAUCCAUUAGGCAACGUGAUCUGAUUAAUGUUUAUAGAGUUUACUUUUUAUAUGAAAGAAGAUAUUGUUUCCUAAAUAAAAAUAGUCCAAAUGUUCAAAAAUUUUAAUUACUAGAUUCUAAAUUGAGACUUACAGUAUCAUAAUCUUUAGUUCAUUUACAUAUUCCAUACUGCUAUGUUACAUUUUUUUCUUUCUUUUUUUUUUGUGUGUGUGUGUGUGUGAGAUGGGGUUUCACUCAGGUCACCCAGACUGGAGUGUGAUGGUGCAAUCUUGGCUCACUGAAACCUCUGCCACGCAGGCUCAAGAGAUUUUCCUGCCUUAGCCUCCCAAGUAGCUGGGACUACAGGCAUGCGCUACCACACCCAGCUAAUUUUUGUAUUUUUUGUAGAGAUGAGGUUUCACCAUGUUGCCCAGGCUGGUCUCAAGCUCGUGGGCUCAAGCAAUCCACUCAUCUCAGACUCCCCAAGUGUUGGGAUUAUAGGCAUGAGCCACCACACCUGGCCAAUAUAUUACAUUUUCUUUUUCUUUUUCUUUUUUUUUUUUUUGGAGACAGAGUCUCGCUCUUUCGCCCAGGCUGGAGUGCAGUGGCACGAACUUGGCUCACUGCAGCCUCCGCCUCCCGGGUUCAAAUGAUUCUUCUGCCUCAGCCUCCUAAGUAGCUGGGUCUACAGGCAUGUGCCACCAUACCCAGCUAAUUUUUGUAUUUUUUUUGUUAGAGACAGGGUUUCAUCAUGUUGGCUAGGCUGGUCUCGAACUCUUGACCUCAGGGGAUCUGCCCACCUCCACUUGCCAAAGUGCUGGGAUUACAGACGUGAGCCACCGCACCCCGCCUACAUAUUCUAAGCCUUUUAAGAUUCUUAUGGUUUCGUCUAAACGGUUCACUUUUUUUAAAAAAUUUUAUUUUAGGUUCAGGGGCACACAUGCAGGUUUGUUAUAUGGGUAAACUCAUGUCACAGGGGUUUGUUGUACAGAUUAUUUUGUCACCCAGGUGCUAAGCCUAGUACCCAAUAGUUAUUUUUUCUGACCCUCUUUCUCCUCCUACUCUCUACCCUCUAAUAGGCCUCAGUGUGUUGUUCUCCUCUAUGUGUCCAUGAAUUGUCAUCAUUUAGAUCCCACUUAUAAGUGAAGACAUGCAGUGUUUGGUUUUCUGUUCCUGUGUUAGCUAAAGAUAAUGGCCUCCACCUCCAUCCAUGUUCCCUCAAAAUACAUGAUCUCAUUAUUUUUAUGGCUGCCUAACAUUCCAUGGUGUAUAUGGACCACAUUUUCUUUAUCCAGUCUGUUAUGAUGGGCAUUUAGGUUGAUUCCACAUCUUUGCUAUUGUGAAUAGUGCUGCAGUGAACAUUCAUGUGCGUGUGUCUUUAUGGUAGAAUGAUUUAUAUUCCUCUGAGCAUAUACUCAGUCACAGGAUUGCUGGGUUGAAUAGCAGUUCUGUUUUUAGCUCUUUGAGGAAUUGGCACACUGCUUUCCACAAUGGUUGAACUAAUUUACACUCCCAGCAACAGUGUAUAAGCAUCCCCUUUUCUCCACAACCUUGCCAGUAUGUUAUUUUUUGACUUUUUAAUAACAGCCAUUCUAACUGAUGUGAGAUGCUAUUUCAUUGUGAUUUGAAUUUGCAUUUUUCUAAUAAUCAGUGAUAUUGAGCUUUUUUCAUAUGCUUGUUGGCUGCAUGUAUGACUUCUUUUGAAAAGUGUCUGUUCAUGUCCUUUGCCCACUUUUGAAUGGGGUUGUGUUUUUUCUUAUAAAUUUGUUUAAGUUCCUUAUAGAUGCUGGAUAUUAGACCUCUGUCAGAUGCAUAGUUUGCAAAAAUUUUCUCCCAUUCUGUUGGUUGGCUUUUCAUCCUGUUGAUAGUUUCUUUUACUGUGCAGAAGUUUUUAAGUUUAAUUAUAUCCCAUUUGUCAAUUUUUGCUUGUGCCGUGAUUCCUUUUCGCAUCUUUGUCAUGAAAUCUUUGCCCAUUCCUAAGUCCAGAUUGGUAUUGCCUAGGUUGUCUUCCAGGGUUCUUAUAGUUUUGGGUUUUACAUUUAAGUCUUUAAUACAACUUGAGUUGAUUUUUGUAUAUGGUAUAAGGAAGAGGUCCAGUUUCAAUUUUCUGCAUAUAGCUGGCCAGUUAUCCCAGCACCGUUUAUUAAAUAGGGAGUUAUUUCCCCAUUGCUUGUUUCUGUCAGCUUUGUUGAAGAUCAAGUAGUUGUAGGUGUGUAGCCUUAUUUCUAGGCUCUCUAUUCUGUUCCAUUGAACUGUGUCUGUUUUUGUACCAGUACUAUGCUGUUUUGGUUACUGUGGUCUUGUAGUUUAGUUUGAACUUAGGUAACGUGAUGUCUCUAGUGCUGCUCUUUUUGUUUAGGAUUUCCUUGGCUAUUGGGGCUCUUUCUGGUUCCAUAUGAUUUUUUAAAUAGUUUUCUCUAGUUAAGUGAAGAUUGUUGUUGAUAGUUUUAUAGAAAUAGUAUUGAAUCUGUAAAUUGCUUUGGGCAGUAUAACCAUUUUAAUGAUAUCGAUUCUUCCUAUCCUUGAGCAUGGGAUGUUUUUCCAUUUGUUUGUGUCAUCUCUGAUUUCUUUAAGCAGUAUUUUGUAAUUCUCAUCAUGGAGGUCUUUCGGCUCCCUGGUUAGCUGUAUUCCUAGGUAUUUUAUUCUUUUUAUGACAAUUGUGAAUAGGAUUGUAUUUCUGACUUGGCUGUUGGCUUGGCUGUUGUUGGUGUGUAGGAAUGCUAGUGACUUUUGUACAUUGAUUUCGUGUCCCGCAACUUUGCUGAAGUUGUUUAUCAGCUAAAGGAUAAACAUAGUCUGUUGGGCCGAGACUAUGGAGUUUUCUAGAUACAGACUCAUGUCAUCUGCAAACAGGGAUAAUUUGACUUCCUGUCUUCCUGUUUGGAUGCUUUUUUUUUUUCUUUCUCUUGCUUGAUUGCUCUGGCCAAGAUUUCCAAUACUAUGUGGUGAAAGAGCGCAUGCCUGUCUUGUGCCAGUUUACAACGGGAAUGCUUCCUGCUUUUCUCCAUUCUGUAUAAUGCUGGCUGUGGGUUUGUCAUAGAUGGCUCUUAUUAUUUUUAGAUAUGUUUCCUUAAGUAUUGUUUAUUUUUAAAUGUAAAUACUUCCCCUUCUGAUGACUUGUAUCUUCAAUCCAUUUUUAUUGUUUGUGAGUUUUGACCUAUAGCAUCAUAAAAUAGUUUUUAAAUUUAUAGCAUAAUAUAUAGAAACCAAAAGUAAACAAGGUUACAUCACUGUUAAACUGACAUUACUCAAGUUCUGGAUUUCAAAAAUUUUUUAAAUUAUUUACAUAGAAGUUUUACUUUUGAAAAGUAAUUUUGUGAAAUUUUAAUAUUUUACAUAAACAAUGAAAAUGAAGGCUCUAAGUUUUGCCACAGAGUGGGGAAGAAAUAGCUGCUCAAUUAUUAUUUCAAAAGUGUAACCAUGUAAUAGGCACUAUUUUUUUGCUACAAUAUUUUUAUAUAUUUUAUGUUAUCUAGACUAAAAUCUCAAAAUUAAGUAUUUGUUUACUAUGGUUUUUAUCUGUCCUUUUUCUAUUUUCAUGCUAUCCAAUGAUUAGAUACAAAAAAACCUCUAUUUACUAGCUUUCAAGAAGAGCAAAAAAUCAUCCCACUGCCUGCUAACUGCCCAUCUAUUGCGGUUAUGGAUGUUUCUGAGAAUAUUAGAGCAAAAAUUUAUGCUAUAUUGGGCAAACUAGGUAAGAAGUUCUCUUCAAAUUUGCAAGAGUCUGUUUUGCUAAGUAUACACACUGAUUUUACUUUGGAGUCAGUUUUUCAAAUGUAAUGAGCAAAAGUCUCAUUAUACAGAGAAAUUCAUUUUCCAUUGUUACCCCAAUUCCCAAACUGCACCCCUCACCAAUUAAAUCAGAAUCUCUGUGUGUGGGAUCCAGGCAAUAGUAUUUUUUAAAGCUCCCCAGGCAAUUCCAAUGUGCAGAUAGGAUUAAGGACAGUUAGUUUAGAUGAUUAAGCUUAAAAUACUGACAUUCUGAGUCACUCGAGUUUUUUUUUUUUUUAAGUCUUUGCUUUAUAUUAAGGAAAAAGUUUAUCAAACACUCUUCAGCUUCUGAAGUAAGAUAUUAUUGUCUGACUACAACACAGAAAGAAAUGAUUCCUAUAUAUUGGAUGACCUGGCAGAAAUGUAUUACAGAAGGAAGUCUACUCACAAGCUACUCACAGAAUUAACUUUUUCAUAAAUCAAGAUGAAAUCAAAAGUAAUUUUGCAUUUGUUUUAAGAUAGAUAGAUAGAUAGAUAGAUAGAUAGAUAGAUAGAUAGUUUCUUAGAAUCACUUGCUCUGCUAAAGUAAUUCUGUCUUUAUAAACUUUAUUUUAGAUUUUGAAAAUUUACCUGGCCUAUCUGCUGAAGAUUUUGUCACCCUUUGUAUCAUACAUAGAUAUCUUGAUUUUAAAAUUGGAGAAAUAUGGAAUGAAAUUUAUGAAGAAAUAAAAUUAGAAAAAUUAAGACCAGUCACUACAGAUAAAAAAGCUUUGGAAGCUAUUAUAACAGCAUCAGAAAAUAUUGGAAAGAUGGUUGCUUCUCUGCAAAGUGAGAUAAUUGAAAGCCAAGCACGCCAAGAUGUUCAAAAUGAACAAAAAGUAUAUGCAAAAAUACAGGCCACGCACAAGCAAAGAGAGCUGGCUAAUAAAUCAUGGGAAAAUUUCUUGGCUAGAACAUCAAAUGCUAAAACGUUAAAGAAAGCAAAAAGGCUUCAAGAAAAAGCUAUAGAAGCCUCCAGACACCAUAAACGCCCACAAAAUGCAAUAUUUCACCAAACAGAUAUUAAAGGCCUUAACACAACGGUGCCUUCCGGUGGGGUAGUAACAGUGGAAAGCACUCCUGCACGAUUAGUAGGAGGACCUCUGGCUGAUACGGAUAUUGCUCUUAAAAAACUGCCCAUUCGAGGAGGAGCCUUGCAGAGGGUGAAAGCAGUUAAAAUUGUGGAUACACCAAAAAAGAGUAUUCCUACGUAAUAUACUGUAGAGACUUUUUGAAAUAAAAUCAGCUUGUAAUUUUUUAGCUGAAUAUAUCUUUAUACAUAUGUAAAGCCAAUAUUUUAGAAUAAGUAUUUUAGUAUACAUAUUUUAGUAAAAUACUAUAAAAAUAAAAGGACAUAUAAUUUA